rnacentral:rRNA from 1 species
GAUGAACGCUGGCGGCGCGCCUAAUACAUGCAAGUCGAGCGAACAGACGAGGAGCUUGCUCCUCUGACGUUAGCGGCGGACGGGUGAGUAACACGUGGAUAACCUACCUAUAAGACUGGGAUAACUUCGGGAAACCGGAGCUAAUACCGGAUAAUAUAUUGAACCGCAUGGUUCAAUAGUGAAAGACGGUUUUGCUGUCACUUAUAGAUGGAUCCGCGCCGCAUUAGCUAGUUGGUAAGGUAACGGCUUACCAAGGCAACGAUGCGUAGCCGACCUGAGAGGGUGAUCCGCCACCCUGGAACUGAGACACGGUCCAGACUCCUACGGGAGGCAGCAGUAGGGAAUCUUCCGCAAUGGGCGAAAGCCUGACGGAGCAACGCCGCGUGAGUGAUGAAGGUCUUCGGAUCGUAAAACUCUGUUAUUAGGGAAGAACAAAUGUGUAAGUAACUAUGCACGUCUUGACGGUACCUAAUCAGAAAGCCACGGCUAACUACGUG